rnacentral:rRNA from 1 species
CCUACGGGUGGCAGCAGUGGGGAAUAUUGCACAAUGGGCGAGACCCUGAUGCAGCGACGCCGCGUGAGUGAUGAAGUAUUUCGGUACGUAAAGCUCUAUUAGCAGGGGAGAAAAUGACGGUACCUGACUAAGUAGCCCCGGCUAACUACGUGCCAGCAGCCGCGGACAUACGUCGGGGGCAAGCGUUAUUCGGAUUUACUGGGUGUAAAGGGAGCGUAGACGGCAGCGCAAGUCUGGAGGGAAAUCCCAUGGCUUAACCAUGGAAGUGCUUUGGAAACUGUGCAGCUUGAGUGCAGGAGAGGUAAGCGGAAUUCCUAGUGUAGCGGUGAAAUGCGUAGAUAUUAGGAGGAACACCAGUGGCGAAGGCGGCUUACUGGACUGUAACUGACGUUGAGGCUCGAAAGCGUGGGGAGCAAACAGGAUUAGAUACCCGGGUAGUC